UCUUAGCACACGUGAUCAAAAUGUAUCCAGUUAAAGGAAUUAUGAAUUGUGCCUUAGCAUUUGGUGGUCUCCAUUUAUAGGCACAAUAGUCUCAAUAUCCUCCUGCAACCAUUCACUUCCUCAAAAUUUGACCACAGUUAACUGCAUGCAGUCAAAAGUAUAUAAUUGCAUAUGUUUGCAACAUAAUGUAAUAAUUUGGCCCUGCAGCAGUCUAAAUUGCAGCAUUAUAAAUCACUGUAGAAACCACAAUGAGCCCCACAGGUAGGUCUACAGCUGUACAACUGUUGGUACAAUUUGGUUCAACAGUUUUAAGUAUAGUGAAGGGUAAAAAGUCAAUUUACCCAAGUAAUGAAGGGCAAUUUUAAAGUGCUCGUACUUUACUUGAUUAAUACAUUUUAUGCUUAUUCUUCUGCACAUAUUAUGCAUAAAGGACCACAGCUCCGAGCUUAACACGCUUCCAAUAAAGGUUGGAGGAAGCAGUUGGCCUAUGAAGCCUUUUCUGAAAGCAGUUGUGAAGCUAUUGGAUGUAACACAAGAAAUUAAAUGAUAGUUAUUACAAAUCACAAAAAGAUGAGAUCAGUCGAUCAAUCAAUUUAUUUGUCACGUGAAAUCAUAAAAUACAAUUCCAGUAAAAUGUAAUCCUGUCAGUUCCAGUCACUUCCUACAAUUUAUGCAUUAAAACAUUAUAUAUAUAUAUACACACACAGUCUUUAGGCAGUGUCCUAAUUUAGGAGUGGCCUGAGGGUAGAAGCUCGUCCUGAGCCUCUGGCCUGGUGUAUCCAGUGCCUUCUUCCUGACCUCAACAGGGACAAAUGGCUGUUACCUGGGUGGUUUGGAUAUUUAAUGAAUCUAGCCUUUUUCUUGCAGCUCCUGGUGUAAAUAUCCUUUAGGCAGGGUAGGGCACCAUCUAUUGUAUGUUUAGCCGAACAAACCACUCUCUACAGUGCCUUGUAGUCCUGUUUGGUGCUGUUUCUGUACCAGGCAGUGAUGUUCCCUGUCAUGAUGAAGAGUAAAAAUGUCUCCGUUUUUGAGGGGAUACCCGGAAUUUCCUCAGGUGACUGAGGUAAAACAGUCUCUGCCUUGCCUUGUGUGUGUUUACAGGGAGUACAGCGGGGGACUCAGAACAUGGCUCCGUGGGGUGCUCCGUUGGUAAGAGGGUGGAAGAGGUGUGUCUGCCCACCCUCACCACCUGGGGUCUACCUGUCAGAAAGUCAAGGAUCCACUUGCACAACUUACUGCUUACUUGAUCUCCUCUGUGGCAUGUCACGUUCAUCCCAACUGACCAGCUGGUCUCCAUAUUGGCUUUCUUAUGUUCCUUGCAAACAGACUCAGCCAUGCUUCAAAGGGAAUGAUUUAUGCCCUUAAAUUAAUGAAUGAAAAGCCAUAUCUUUCCUGUUUUCAGAUUCAGUCUGUUUAGAGCUGUAAGUAGACUGUACUGUGUUAUUUCAACCUGACACAAUCUAGUUUUAACAACACAAAUGAUAACUAUUAUGAUGAUUUUGUUUUGCUGUAACCAAACAUCUAGGCCCACUUGUUUACAAAGAUGGUUAGUGUAAAACAUAUUAUAACUUAAACACUAUUUUAAGCCUUUAUUUGUCCAGGCAAUUGAAAUGUUGUGUAGAUUUGCUGUAUUUCAGACACACCCUGCUACACAUUUACACAGGGGCAGCCUAGUACAACCACAGAUUUCCUCUGUUGGCUACCGACCAACUCCACUCCAGUGGUUGGGGCUUGAGUGCCUUCCUCCACUGCACAUCAACUGAAUUUAUAGGGAGAAGGUGUGUGCUAUUUGCAGCUCUCCAGCUUCUGAUUGUCACUGGAUCCCUAAAUUUCCUUCCUUUUGCUGGGGUUCAAACCAAUGACAUUACAAUGGCAAGCUUACUUCUACCAUUUAAGGAUUACCUGGAGAGUACAAUUAUUUGACUCAUUCUGUUCAAUCUGAAUUGUUCAGGUUUUUUUCAUGCAUGGUUUGGUUGGCAGACGUUUACUGCUAAAUAUGAUUUAUUAAAGCUUUGCCAAUUAAAGAAAGUGAGCAAACAAUGUCUUAAUGUGUUAAAACAAGCACUGUUUCAAGUGUGUGAGCUAAAUAAAGAAAGGUUACAGUUUGUAGACAGGCA